GCUGAGGAUGGAUCACCGCAGCAGGCCCAGCUGGGCUGGCAGACAUUUCCCCACUUGCUGGUGGCCAGCCACAAGCCCCUGGUGUGGGUGUCAGCCUGGACUUAGCAUCCAGCUCUUCUCAAAACCCAGGGGAGGUGUGCUCAGGUGCAUUGCUUCUGACGUGAUGAUUAGCAAAGAAACCUACAAUGACUUUUGACUUUGCUGUCACUGAUUUAACUUAGAAAGUUUGGCAGAUUUGAGGACUGCAAAGUAUAUCUCCAUCAAAAUGAAAGAGGAGAAGAAAGAAAAGUAGAAAUGCAUUGCUUGGAUAGCAUUCCUUUAAAUGGAGAAGACCUUUUGGCUCCAAGUCUGACUGAAAAUGAUUCUAUCUACCAAAAUCUGCUGAAACAACUGAAGUAUGUGUGACCUGUAUCAUGUGUGGGCAUGAAUGGAUGGAGGGGAUUUUGAGGUGUUAUUAAAGAAAGGACACUUCUGUGAAGAAAACUGUGUUGAUUUCUGCUGUCAAGUGAAUGAGAGUAUUUGAAGUCCUGCUGUAUCCAAUUUCCAAGUGAUAAAAGAAGCUGUGGAGAUGCAGUUAUGAUGAGAGAAAAGUGGCAAGCAAAUAACUGGCAGAUAAAAACUGGUUUAGAGAUUAAAUGAAUACAUAAACUGACCCUAGACUAGGCUAGGACACAAAAAGUUAUUUAAAUAAGAAAUUUUGGACUAGGAAAAAAAUGGAAACUCAACACUUUCUCAUGCUUCAUAGAAUGAGAAGAAAAUGUUUGCUGCUCUGAAGUUGCCCAGUGAAGAGAAAGGAUGUUGAAGAGCUGGAGAUCCUUGGAGAUUUUGCUGCUACUGAGAGCAAGAAUAUAUUGAAGCAACUGCUCUUGUUCAAGGCGUUUUCUGUAGACAUAUCUGAUUUGUCCUGGACAUAACUAGGUCUCUAAUUUUAUAAGACACAGUAUUUUAGGGCUGAAGUCAGUCAGUUGAGAAAACUGAAAUUUGUGGGAAAUCUGUUUUGUUCCGGGGUUCUUUUAGAAAGAUUUACUAAUGAGAUUUUGAUUUUGCUAUUGUUAUUGAGGAGUAGCUAAGAAUUUGUUACCAAAAAAUUGAUUUUGAUUUGUUUUACAUGACUACGACUACAAUAUAAUAAAUAGAAAUAUAAAUAUUGCUAUAUAUAAAAAUACUACUCUUUAGUUUUAAAAAAUUAAUUUUCCUUUUUUUAAAAUAGCAUUUACUCUGUAUUUAUCUGGUUGAUUACUCAUGAACAUACUGCUUACCUCUUGCAGUUUUUUCAGCAUGUUGUGUUAGAAACUAGUCCUGUAAACCUAAGAAGGACUUUUAGCUACAGCUUUUAAGCAGACUUUGUAUUUUGAAAAAAACGUAUUUUUCUUGCUUUUCUGCCCAUUAAUCUUACUAGAUUCUGAUUUGGGUUUUUAAAUGUCAUCUCAACCAACACUUAGCCCUCAUUUAAAAAGAAAAAUAAUUUUUUUUUUAUUCUUUAUGGAGUAUUAGAAUCUCAGAAUGGUUUGGGUCAGAAGGCAUCUUAAAGCUCAUCGAGUUCCAACCCCUCUGCCAUCGGCAUGGGCACCAUCUACUGGACCACAUUUUACAAUGUCCCCUCCAACGUGAUCUUGAGCCCCACCACAAGGCAUCCACAGCUUCCCUGCGCAAUGUCUUCCAGUGCUUCACCACCCUCACAGUGAAGAAUUUCUUCCCAUAUCUCAUCUAAACCUGCUCUAAUUGUUAAAGCUGCUCCCCCUUCUCCUGGCACUACACGCUCUUGUAAAAAGUCACUCUCCAUGACUGUUGUGGGCUGCCAUCAGGCCCCAGCAGGCAGCUCAAAGGUCUUCCAUGGAGCUUUCUCUUCUCUAGACUGAACAACCACAACCCAGCCUGUUUUCUCAGGAGAGCUGUUCCAGCCCUCUGAUC